rnacentral:rRNA from 1 species
UACGGGGGGAGCAAGCGUUGUUCGGAUUUACUGGGCGUAAAGGGCGCGUAGGCGGUCGUGACAAGUCACUUGUGAAAUCUCCGGGCUUAACUCGGAACGGUCAAGUGAUACUGUCGGACUAGAGUACAGAAGGGGCAACUGGAAUUCUCGGUGUAGCGGUGAAAUGCGUAGAUAUCGAGAGGAACACCUGCGGCGAAGGCGGGUUGCUGGGCUGAUACUGACGCUGAGGAGCGAAAGCGUGGGGAGCGAACGGG